rnacentral:tRNA from 1 species
GCCAGCAUGGCUCAGUGGUUGAGCAUCAACCUGUGAAGCUGAAGGUCACGGUUCGAUUCUCGGUCAGGGCA